rnacentral:lncRNA from 1 species
CUUUUCAAUCAUGGGCGAGCUUUUGACCUUGACCUUGGGAAUGGGACAAGCAUUUGGAGAUGGCUUUUGCCCAUUGUUCUGGCUUGUCUCAGUUUUGUUGGAAUACAGUGGAAGGGAGCAUGGUGGUUUCCUCCGAGUUGGCUUAUGUGGUGGCACCUCUUUUCCAGUGAUACUGGCUGCUUGCUCUUUGAAUUUCCCUGCUAGCUGAGCCACUGAUGGUGAUCCUGACUUGUCCACCUCCGAAUUGGUCUCUGUUGGCCUGUUCUCCAUGUCCUGCAAGAGAGAGGUGUCCUCAGGGCAAUCUUCCUUCCCCACCCCUUUCCCUCUUAUCUGUGGGAAAACUUCAGCCGAGCCAGAGCAAAAUCACGCUGCUGUGGAGGGUAUGUAAUAUCCAC